rnacentral:rRNA from 1 species
ACCUUUUGUAUAAUGGGUCAGCGACUUAUAUUCUGUAGCAAGGUUAACCGAAUAGGGGAGCCGAAGGGAAACCGAGUCUUAACUGGGCGUUAAGUUGCAGGGUAUAGACCCGAAACCCGGUGAUCUAGCCAUGGGCAGGUUGAAGGUUGGGUAACACUAACUGGAGGACCGAACCGACUAAUGUUGAAAAAUUAGCGGAUGACUUGUGGCUGGGGGUGAAAGGCCAAUCAAACCGGGAGAUAGCUGGUUCUCCCCGAAAGCUAUUUAGGUAGCGCCUCGUGAAUUCAUCUCCGGGGGUAGAGCACUGUUUCGGCAAGGGGGUCAUCCCGACUUACCAACCCGAUGCAAACUGCGAAUACCGGAGAAUGUUAUCACGGGAGACACACGGCGGGUGCUAACGUCCGUCGUGAAGAGGGAAACAACCCAGACCGCCAGCUAAGGUCCCAAAGUCAUGGUUAAGUGGGAAACGAUGUGGGAAGGCCCAGACAGCCAGGAUGUUGGCUUAGAAGCAGCCAUCAUUUAAAGAAAGCGUAAUAGCUCACUGGUCGAGUCGGCCUGCGCGGAAGAUGUAACGGGGCUAAACCAUGCACCGAAGCUGCGGCAGCGACGCUGAUGCGUUGUUGGGUAGGGGAGCGUUCUGUAAGCCUGCGAAGGUGUGCUGUGAGGCAUGCUGGAGGUAUCAGAAGUGCGAAUGCUGACAUAAGUAACGAUAAAGCGGGUGAAAAGCCCGCUCGCCGGAAGACCAAGGGUUCCUGUCCAACGUUAAUCGGGGCAGGGUGAGUCGACCCCUAAGGCGAGGCCGAAAGGCGUAGUCGAUGGGAAACAGGUUAAUAUUCCUGUACUUGGUGUUACUGCGAAGGGGGGACGGAGAAGGCUAUGUUGGCCGGGCGACGGUUGUCCCGGUUUAAGCGUGUAGGCUGGUUUUCCAGGCAAAUCCGGAAAAUCAAGGCUGAGGCGUGAUGACGAGGCACUACGGUGCUGAAGCAACAAAUGCCCUGCUUCCAGGAAAAGCCUCUAAGCAUCAGGUAACAUCAAAUCGUACCCCAAACCGACACAGGUGGUCAGGUAGAGAAUACCAAGGCGCUUGAGAGAACUCGGGUGAAGGAACUAGGCAAAAUGGUGCCGUAACUUCGGGAGAAGGCACGCUGAUAUGUAGGUGAAGUCCCUCGCGGAUGGAGCUGAAAUCAGUCGAAGAUACCAGCUGGCUGCAACUGUUUAUUAAAAACACAGCACUGUGCAAACACGAAAGUGGACGUAUACGGUGUGACGCCUGCCCGGUGCCGGAAGGUUAAUUGAUGGGGUUAGCGCAAGCGAAGCUCUUGAUCGAAGCCCCGGUAAACGGCGGCCGUAACUAUAACGGUCCUAAGGUAGCGAAAUUCCUUGUCGGGUAAGUUCCGACCUGCACGAAUGGCGUAAUGAUGGCCAGGCUGUCUCCACCCGAGACUCAGUGAAAUUGAACUCGCUGUGAAGAUGCAGUGUACCCGCGGCAAGACGGAAAGACCCCGUGAACCUUUACUAUAGCUUGACACUGAACAUUGAGCCUUGAUGUGUAGGAUAGGUGGGAGGCUUUGAAGUGUGGACGCCAGUCUGCAUGGAGCCGACCUUGAAAUACCACCCUUUAAUGUUUGAUGUUCUAACGUUGACCCGUAAUCCGGGUUGCGGACAGUGUCUGGUGGGUAGUUUGACUGGGGCGGUCUCCUCCUAAAGAGUAACGGAGGAGCACGAAGGUUGGCUAAUCCUGGUCGGACAUCAGGAGGUUAGUGCAAUGGCAUAAGCCAGCUUGACUGCGAGCGUGACGGCGCGAGCAGGUGCGAAAGCAGGUCAUAGUGAUCCGGUGGUUCUGAAUGGAAGGGCCAUCGCUCAACGGAUAAAAGGUACUCCGGGGAUAACAGGCUGAUACCGCCCAAGAGUUCAUAUCGACGGCGGUGUUUGGCACCUCGAUGUCGGCUCAUCACAUCCUGGGGCUGAAGUAGGUCCCAAGGGUAUGGCUGUUCGCCAUUUAAAGUGGUACGCGAGCUGGGUUUAGAACGUCGUGAGACAGUUCGGUCCCUAUCUGCCGUGGGCGCUGGAGAAUUGAGGGGGGCUGCUCCUAGUACGAG